rnacentral:rRNA from 1 species
AUUGAACGCUGGCGGCAUGCUUUACACAUGCAAGUCGAACGGCAACAGGCCGCAGGGUGCUGACGAGUGGCGAACGGGUGAGUAAUGCAUCGGAACGUGCCCAGUCGUGGGGGAUAACGCAGCGAAAGCUGUGCUAAUACCGCAUACGAGCUAUGGAUGAAAGCGGGGGACCGUAAGGCCUCGCGCGAUUGGAGCGGCCGAUGUCAGAUUAGGUAGUUGGUGGGGUAAAGGCCUACCAAGCCGACGAUCUGUAGCUGGUCUGAGAGGACGACCAGCCACACUGGGACUGAGACACGGCCCAGACUCCUACGGGAGGCAGCAGUGGGGAAUUUUGGACAAUGGGCGCAAGCCUGAUCCAGCAAUGCCGCGUGCAGGAAGAAGGCCUUCGGGUUGUAAACUGCUUUUGUACGGAACGAAACGGCCUGGGUUAAUACCCUGGGCUAAUGACGGUACCGUAAGAAUAAGCACCGGCUAACUACGUGCCAGCCGCCGCAGUAAAAC